ACUCAGCAGCGGCCACUGCGUAGACUGGUUUCUACCUCCUCGCGCUUCUCUCGGCUUCCUUUGCAAUCAUGUCUGACAAACCCGAUAUGGCUGAGAUUGAGAAAUUUGAUAAGUCGAAAUUGAAGAAGACAGAAACGCAAGAGAAAAAUCCACUGCCUUCAAAAGAAACGAUUGAACAGGAGAAGCGAGCAGGCGAGUCGUAAUGAGGCUGUCACCGCCAGUAUACUCUGUACAUUCCGCAAGCACUGCCUUCUUGUUUUACUUUUAGCUGUUUACCUUUUUAAGAUGCAAAAAGAUUGGAUCAAGUUUAAAUGAUUGUGCUACCCCUUUUCUCAUCAAAAAAAGGAGAACUACUGACACGAAGGCCGCGCCUGCCUCUUCCAUCUACUUGUCUGGGUGCCAGGGAAGGAAAAGAACUUGCAUGUUGGUGAAGGAGGAAACUGGGUGGGAAGAGAGUGAAAUCUAGAGAAAGCAAACUGAUCCGUGAUGUCCUGAGGGCUGUAAAAUGCAGUUUAUUCAGAGUGCCAUUUUCUUUUAGUUAAAAUGAUUUUUAAAGUAUGGAAUGCACAAUUUUUUAAUAUGCAAAUAAAAAAUUUUAAAACUUAGCUUGUGUGACUGAUGUCUGGAAGAGAAUGAUGUUCCUAGAUGAAAGCUGUAUGAAAAGGUCUUGCUUCUUGGUCUCACUGGGGAGAAAUAAAUGAUUAAAACUGUAACAGAGACUAAAAAGGAAUUUGAUAUUUAUGACAUUGUCUAAUGGCUGACUUUUAAUUAGAAUUCAACAUUUAGAAUUUAUUUAUUUAUUUAUUUUGUCUUUGUAGGCCCACACCCUGGGCAUAUGGAGUUUCCCAUGCUAGGGGUCCAAAGGAAGCUGUUGCCUCCCACCCAAGCCACAGCCACAGGAACUCAGGAUCUGAGGAACGUCUAUGAUCUACACCACAAUUCAUGGUAAUGCAGGAACUUUAACUCACUGAUGGUGGCCAGGAAUCAAAGCCAUGUCCUCAGGGAUGCUAGUCUGGUUUGUUAACCACUGAGCCACGAUGGGAACUCUUAGAAUUUUUAAAAAUGAAAAAUACAUGUACCUUUAAUAAAUAUGAUUUUAGUAUAACUCAUCUUAAUUUGUAUAAUUAAGAAUAUUUGGAUUUUAAAGCAACUGUGGUACCACGUUUGCACUAAAUUUAUUUCAAUAUAAAUUAGUUGGCUCACUUCAGGUUCUUAUUAAAUAUAAUACUUCUCAUAAUUUGAAGUGUUUUUAGUGAGGAGAGAAAGUAAAAACUUUGUGUUUAAAUCAUUUUACUAUGCAAUUUUUUUUCUUUUUAAUUUGGUCUUUUUAGAGCCACAUCUGAAGUAAGUUCCCAGGCUGUGAGUCAAAUCAGAGCUUCAGCUGCCAGACUAUGCCACCGCCACCACAAUGCCAGAUCUUAUCCUGUGCUCAAUAUUCUAGGAAUAACCAAGAGAAAAAUCUCAGAAUCUGAAGUUUAGGUAUGUGGUCAACAAUUUAAAGGGCCCAAAUCUAGACAAUUGAUAUACAAGUUGAAAUAACUAGACAGCUAUGAACAAGACAGUUUUUUGGUUUUUUUUUUUUUUUUAGGGCCACAUCCGAUUCACUCCUGUGGCAUAUGGAAGUUUCCAGCCUAGGUGUUGACUCAGAGCUGCAGCUGUAGACAUACACCACAGCCACAGCAACACUAAAUCCUUAACCCACUGAGUGAGGCCAGGGAUUGAACCUGAGUCCUCAUGGAUACCAGUUAGGUUUGUUGAGUCACAUCUAUUUUUCUUUUUUAAUGGUCUUAAUACUUUAUCUUAAAUGGCUUCCUUUGUUCUCUGAGGAAGCAUUCAGAAAUAAAAAAGAACACAAUUUUAAAAUGGUAAUUUAUGCAAUAUCUCACCUUAAAUUUACAGUGCAAAUGUAGAAGAAUGUAAAUUUUUUCAUCAAAAAUUGAUAUCUGAAAAUAGCUUUCUAGCAGGCAAGAUGGGAAGAACAGUGAGGAAAAAGGCAGGUGCAAAUUCUUGGUCUGAUUUAAUAAACCAGUUGAUUUCAUUUCCUUUGCUCAACACUUAUUUUGAGAAAUGCACAGGAAACCACCUAACUGUGGUUUAGACAAUCAACCAAACCAUCAAAAGUCUCUGUUGCAAGAAAAGUGGUGUGUACUUGCAGGAAAAAAAAAAAAAAAAAAAAAAAAAAAAAAAAAAAAAAAAAAUGAAGUGCCACUUCCUGCUUUAAAUCACAAAAAAUGUAGGAGUUUUCUCAAAAUGUAGCUUGGCCUUUAGCCUUUCAUUUUCUUUUGCUGCCUGCAAGGAUGGAUGUGGGCAAAGGGAAGAUGCCUAGAUGCGAAGAUAAAAGAAGCCCAUAUAUGUUUUUGUUGUGUGCAUUUUUAAAACGAAGAUAAGCUCAGAAUGUAAUAAAUGGCCAUAAAUCCAGUGCUUCUCAUUUUAAGUGGAUAUAGGGAAAUAGGGUUAUGCCAUGAUAUCAAAGAAGUCAAAGAAGAUGUUUUUUCCUUAGAGGGCAAGGUAAAAUUUCAAUAAUAAGUGAAUAAAUAAAACAGCAGUAAUGAUUGAAUUACUUACUUGUGGGCUGGGAAUUCAGAAUUUUCUGCCUAAAUCAGAUUCUCUUUGAAUACUUAAUUUCUUCAUGUGAAGGUGAAGGUGGAAGGGGUAAAUUACUUUUUAAAAAGGUAAGGGGAACACCAUUGUUCAGGUUUGGUUUUGGUUGUUUGUUUUCCCCAGACAUGGAAGAUAAUCAUCCCAAUAUAUUUAGGGAAAUUUAAGAAUCAGCAUGGGAAUUUAUUUUACUAUAGGAGAACAUGUCCCAAUAAAAAUGUAGAAAGGAGAGACCCCAACCAUGAUGACUAAGCAAAGUCUACCAACUGCCCCAACCACCCCUUCCCCACACAUCUGCUUCUGUAAACUUGUUUCCACAUCUACUACCUUGCCAUCACUCCAGUCCAACUAGCCAAGCAUGGACCCAGAAGAGGUAGCCCAUAAAAGCCUUGUGAAACCCUUCUUCAGGGCUCAGGCUCCAGAGAUCGAUCUCCUCUGAGCCCGCCCGCGUAAUAAACCUGAGUUCUCCAACUCUCCGAGUGCUGGCUUGGUUUCUUGCUGGGUAAAAGAGCUGAUUCACUGCAGCCACAGAGCUGUUGGAGCUGGUUCACUACAGCCACAGGGCUGUCGCCAGAGCUGAUAACACUGAGGUGCAGAGCUGCUGGGCAGCUGCAGUAACACUACUACUGAGUAGGAGCUUGGAAUGAAUAAUGGAUUGCCUUUGGAUUCUCAUAAUGAUUAGAUUCUCCCAAAAUAAUGUCCAUGUUAAAUGUGCAAGUAAGAUCUGUUUAUUUCCAUCAAAAAAGCUGCAAACUCAAUCUUAAGUGGGAAAUGCCUGACAUUGAAUUCCAGGUGCCACCAAAACUCUAAUCAACUUAAAAUCUGGAAGGCCGAUCCCUCCCCAACAAUGAACUGCCUUGGAGACUAGUUAAACUUAUUCUGUUGGGGGAUGUUUAUUUAGAACUUCCCUCUACCCCCUACCCAAAACCGUUACUCACAUUCUUAGGGAAUUUUCUCCCCCUAACCCUUGAAUACUGACUUAGGCCUAAGAACAAAUCUGUGCUAAAAAUAGAAACUACCUCUUUUCCUACUAAUUGCACCCU
rnacentral:lncRNA from 1 species